rnacentral:rRNA from 1 species
UGGGGAAUAUUGGACAAUGGGCGCAAGCCUGAUCCAGCCAUGCCGCGUGAGUGAUGAAGGCCCUAGGGUUGUAAAGCUCUUUCACCGGUGAAGAUAAUGACGGUAACCGGAGAAGAAGCCCCGGCUAACUUCGUGCCAGCAGCCGCGGUAAUACGAAGGGGGCUAGCGUUGUUCGGAUUUACUGGGCGUAAAGCGCACGUAGGCGGACUUUUAAGUCAGGGGUGAAAUCCCGGGGCUCAACCCCGGAACUGCCUUUGAUACUGGAAGUCUUGAGUAUGGUAGAGGUGAGUGGAAUUCCAAGUGGAGAGGUGAAAUUCGUAGAUAUUCGGAGGAACACCAGUGGCGAAGGCGGCUCACUGGACCAUUACUGACGCUGAGGUGCGAAAGCGUGGGGAGCAAACAGG